GAUGAAGAACGUAGCGAAAUGCGAUACUUGGUGUGAAUUGCAGAAUCCCGUGAACCAUCGAGUCUUUGAACGCAAGUUGCGCCCGAAGCCAUUAGGCCGAGGGCACGCCUGCCUGGGCGUCACACGUCGUUGCCCCCCCAUCUACUCCUUCGGGAUUGCGGGGGGCGGAUGAUGGCCUCCCGUGCGCCUCGUCGCGCGGUUGGCCUAAAUGCCAAGUCCUCGGCGACGCACGCCACGACAAUCGGUGGUUGCGAAACCUCGGUUGCCUGUCGUGUGCGGUCGUCGCGCAUCGAGGGCUCGAAAAAAUUGCCGGGCUUCGGCUCGACUUUCAACGCGACCCCAGGUCAGGCGGGGUUACCCGCUGAAUUUAAGCGUAUCAAUAAGCGGAGGA
rnacentral:misc_RNA from 1 species